GGCGAUCACUGGUGAAGCACGCCAACCAUAUGAUAGAAAGACAGAAGGCAAGAAUCUCCAGAAGAAGGUUCUUGAAUCAGUCAUCGAGCAGGCGGAGGAGGCAGAGCGUCUUUUCACCAUUAAUCAUAGCAACACCAAUCUAGACACGAGUUGCAGCUCAAGUACUAUAGCAGCUGAAGAGAGCAACAGAAGAUAGAAGAGGCUUUACAUGCUAGCAGUCUUGAUUACAUGUAAUGAAAUAGCUGAUCUUUGCGAUAGUGCAGAGCGUAUCUUCUCAAGCGAACCAACUGUAUUACAGCUUAGAGCUCCUAUCAAAAUUAUUUGGUGAUCUCCAUGGACAGUUUGGGGGCCUUAUGCGCCUUUUUGAUGAAUACGGUUCACCUUCCACAGCUGGAGACACUUCAACGACCAAUACCUCUUCUUAGGUGGCUAUUUUGAUAGAGAAGAAAAUUAUAUGUAUGCAUGGGGGUAUUGGUCGUUCUAUAUAUCAUGUGGAGAAGAUUGAGAAUAUACAACGUCCAAUUACAAUGGACGCUGGCUCCAUUGUGCUCAUGGAUUUAUUAUGGUCAGUCCAUGUCUUUUGUAUGUUUGUUAUGUUUUUGGUCCAAAGUCUUACUAGUUUGUUGAU